UUGGUGUUACUGCGAAGGGGGGACGGAGAAGGCUAUGUCAGCCGGGCGACGGUUGUCCCGGUUUAAGCAUGUAGGCGGAGGUUCCAGGUAAAUCCGGUACCUUAUUAACGCUGAGGUGUGAUGACGAGGCACUACGGUGCUGAAGUGAUAAAUGCCCUGCUUCCAGGAAAAGCCUCUAAGCAUCAGGUAACACGAAAUCGUACCCCA
rnacentral:rRNA from 1 species